GAUGAAGAACGUAGCGAAAUGCGAUAAGUAAUGUGAAUUGCAGAAUUCAGUGAAUCAUCGAAUCUUUGAACGCACCUUGCGCUCCUUGGUAUUCCGAGGAGCAUGCCUGUUUGAGUGUCAUGAAAACCCUCAACCCUAGAUUGGUUAAUACCUUUCUUUGGUUUGGAUUUGGACGUUUGCCGAUGAUAAGUCGGCUCGUCUUAAAAGUAAUAGCUGGAUCUGUCUCGCGACAUGGUUUGACUUGGCGUAAUAAGUAUUUCGCUAAGGACAUCUUCGGAUGGCCGCGUUGCAGGACUAAAGACCGCUUUCUAAUCCAUUGAUCUUCGGAUUAAUACUCUUGACAUCUGGCCUCAAAUCAGGUAGGACUACCCGCUGAACUUAAGCAUAUCAAUAAGCGGAGGA
rnacentral:misc_RNA from 1 species